rnacentral:piRNA from 1 species
GUUCAGGCUGCCUGGCUGUCUUA